rnacentral:rRNA from 1 species
UACGUAGGGUCCGAGCGUUGUCCGGAAUUAUUGGGCGUAAAGAGCUCGUAGGCGGUUUGUCGCGUCUGCUGUGAAAUCCCGAGGCUCAACCUCGGGCCUGCAGUGGGUACGGGCAGACUGGAGUGCGGUAGGGGAGAAUGGAAUUCCUGGUGUAGCGGUGAAAUGCGCAGAUAUCAGGAGGAACACCAAUGGCGAAGGCAGCUCGCUGGGACGGUACUGACGCUGAGACGCGAAAGCGUGGGGGAGCGAACAGG